CCUUGUCAUCUCUGCAGCAAGGGAAGAAAAAGCCAAAUCUCUGAAAAUUUCUAUUUCAAAUCUGCAGAAGUUCCUUAAUACAGCAUCACCUUUUUCCCCCAGUGGCCUCAACACUUCUCCAGCUCUUCCUGGAAUUCAGAAGCCUGCUCCCAGCCUUCAGAAGUCAUGGCAGUGCACCACGUCCCACCAGAUUCUGCCAAGAAGAAGAAGGAUCAAAAGCCAGGGAACCUCAGGAAAACGGGAAGAUGGACAGGACAAACACAGAUCUGAACCAAUGUGGUUAAUCAAACGUUCUCCCUUUA